rnacentral:lncRNA from 1 species
AGGCAAUCAUUGGCCAUACAUAAAUCCAUGUAUUAAUGAGGAACCAGGCAGUGACAUCUUUUCUGACAGAGAUAGGUGAAGCUGGCGCUUCAUGGAUGAAUGACUCUGUUAAAUAGAUCAGAGAGAAAAUCUGAAAAGGUCAUAAAGAGCACAAAAAUUUUCAAAAGGAUUUGGAGCCCAUUUGGAUUUGGCAUCUGUUUCUGCUUCUAGUAUGUCUGGCUCAGGAGGCUCAAAGCUGCAAAUUCUACUGGGAAAAUAUUGAAAAUUAAUUUAUUGCUCAAUGCAGAACAAAGAUAAUCAAGACCACACCAUCCUUACACUAUUUAUAGAUGAAGAAAUUGGAGGCUUAAAGAGGUUGAGUGACAUGGACAAGAUUACCUGUGCCUAUCCCUUGAAGUUCUAA